UGAUGUUGGAGAGACCAAUGGAUUGUGAAGAUGUUGCAUAUGAGCAUGGAGUAAAUGAAGUGGCUAUGAAAUAAAUUCCAUGCUCAUUAAUGCUUAGAGUGAAAUCCAUGUGGUAUGGUGAAAGUGAUAAGGUGAGUGUGGUAAAAAAAAGGAAAAGAAAAAGGAUACACGGACGACUUGGUUCGAAACUAGCACAGCUACUGUUCCCCGGCAACGGCGCC
rnacentral:lncRNA from 1 species